GGGAGGAGAGACGCCCCCCUCCCCCGUACCCGCUGCAGGUGCCGGCCCGGGGUGGGUGCAGCUUGGGUGGUCACCUCGCUGGAGCGGGCAGAGCUUUUCUCCCUGGCGGGGAAGCUGUGAUGGUGGACGCGCUGGGGGAUGGGUGGGGGUGGGGCUCGGCGAGCUGCUGGCCGACCCCCAGCUUUGGAUUUCUGGGAGGAGGACUCAUCCCGAGGCCAGAAAAGGAGAGGGUCCCUGCGCCUCAGCCAAGGGCUGGGUCUCCUGACCGAGGCUUCUCCCCGCAAGGCCUGCGCCCCAGAAGACCCCCACCCGUAGCCCCCGCGCCUCCCCGAGGCCCGCCCGGAGCAUGCUGCCCGCAGCCAUGAGGAGCCUGGGCCUGGCGCUGCUGGCCUUGCUGCUGUGUCCCGCGCCGGGUGAGUUGGGGUCCGUGGGGCAGGGGCAGGUCACCGGAAUAUCCGAAUCCUCCAAGGGUUCGGUUCUCACCACGCCCCUUCCCAGCCCCUGCGACCCCAGGCGGCCCUUGCCGCUUGGCAGUAGCCAUGCGGGUCUCUCCCAGCCCCCGACGGCACCAGGCACCUUUCCUCCGGGCUGCUGGUCCUGCGUGGGUACUCCUCGCUGCCCAGUUGUCCGGGUUCUCACACUUCUUCUCUUCCCGGAGCCCCACCAGGCUACCCACCAAGUCCUCUUUGGGCCUUAAUAGCUUGGGACCCACCCAGCUCUGGGGGUGUCUGUGAGGCGGGGCAGGAGUGUGCAGGACACGGGGUGUGGCUUGCUCAUUCCUGUCCAGUGGGAGCUGGAGCCACCUCUGUGGGCGUGGUUCUGCCAGGAGGGCAGGUGGGGAUGGAGGGGACACAGGACCUGGCUGGUCAGGCUCCAGUUCCUCUGGUCAUCUUGAGCCCUAUGCUCUGCCCAGCUCAUGGCCUCUGGUGCCAGGACUGCACCCUGACCACCAACUCCAGCCAUUGCACCCCGAAGCAGUGCCAGCCAUCGGACACUGUGUGUGCAAGUGUCCGGAUCACCGACCCCAGCAGCAGUAAGUUGGGAUCAGGGUGGGGGUGAGGUUGUUGAAGGCAGACUCUGGGGAGAGGUCAGAGGUGUGGUUCUCCGAGCCGCCCUGGGCUGGGAUGAGUACGGGUUUGCCGGUAGGAUGCAGCCCAGGUUUUCCCUCCUUGGCUCCUUAGGACCCCUUUCUCUGUAGAUCCCAGCUUCGGUGGGUUGAAGGCCUCAGCUCUGUGGCCCUGGCCCCAAACUGACCUGGAGGGUCUUGGGGACAAAGCAGAGGGUCCAGGUGGAGCUCCAGUCCCAGUCCCUUGUCUCCCCAGGCAGGAAGGAUCACUCCGUGAACAAGAUGUGUGCGUCCUCCUGUGACUUCGUCAAGCGGCACUUUUUCUCAGACUAUCUGAUGGGGUUCAUUAACUCUGGGAUCUUGAGAGUCGACGUGGAGUGCUGUGGGAAGGACUUGUGCAACCAGGCAGCCGCUGUGGGGUGCAGCCCCUGGGCCCUGGCUGGGGGGCUCCUGCUCAGCCUGGGGCCUGCCCUCCUCUGGGCUGGGCCCUGAGGUCCCUCCUUCCCGCAGGGUUCUGAGCUUGUUCCCCUGAGUCCGGCUGGCACUGCCUCACCCCAGGCUGGUCUGACCCAGGCGGGGACACCACUGGCCAGUACUGUGGUCUGUGGCUCUCACCUUCCCUAUGUGAGACCUCCUGCCUUUUCACCAGUUCAAUGUCCCAGGCAGCUGGAUUUCUCCAGGACACCUGGUGUCUGGGCAGGAGGCUGGGGACUGGGGUUGAGGGCAGGAGCUGGGACCCCAAGGUCCCCUAGGGGAAGUGAGGCCAAGCCAGGCACAGCCCAGAAGCCUGGCCUGAAGGGCAUCGUCUACAGAGAAAUAAAGUCACUUCUGAGUCCUGAGGCUCGGGUCUGAGCCUGGGUGUGAUGGGCGGGCAGGUCCUGGCGGAGAACAUGGAGGGGCU
rnacentral:lncRNA from 1 species